CAUAUUUUCAAAAAAAAACUUUGGGAACCAGGCUCAGUCCGAGGCGAUUUUUACUUUGGAUUCCAGUCUAUCCACCUGCCAACCACAACCAUCUCCGGCAUUAUUGGUAGACCGGCAACUCUGAGCCCCGUUCAAAUCCGAGCUCGAGCCUCCAAUCAAUGGCAGAAAGGGAGAUGACCAGGAUGAGGAGCCCCCAAUCAAGGUCGUCCUUCUCCAAUCUCCAGUAAGAUUCCAAGAUCUUUUGAAUUUUGAUGUGCGCGAGGAACAGAGUGCUGAAUCCUUCAGUAUGCAAUGAGGCGUUAAAUAUUACAGGCAACGAUGGUGUGGGGAGAAAUACUAGCAAAGAUGAUGCCAGCAUUCACGUUUGUGGUGGAACUAAAAGAGAGGAUGGUGAUGGUGAUUCAAGUAAAUGCAAUUUUGUUUCAGCAGAUACCUAAGAACUCAAAGAGCUAACUGCAGGGAAUGUGCAGAGUUUUCAAAAUCAAUCCUGCUUUUUGGGCAAUGUUUGUUUUUUGGCAGUUAUGCAAUUGGUGUUUCUGAUGAACCAAAGAUAAUGUAUCGGUGUUUCUUUUGAAUGACAAAACUUUAGGGAUAACUUAAACAAUC